UUCUUGGGAAUAGGUUUACAUUCAACCACCAACCAACCACCACCAUUCAGCUGCUCUCUUCUUCUCGUAUUACUUGCAGAAAUCUGCAGAAAGAAAUGCUGUUUACGAAAUCCAAUAUCCAACAAACCAACCAGCCCGACUCCGGCCUUGUUUUUUAUCCCGAUGAUGAUGAUGACAAUUGUGUUUAAAUAAGGAAGCAAAGAAAGUAAACGGAGAUGUCGAGCGAGCAGCCCGUAGUAAGUAAUACGAGAAUAACCAACUUGUGAAUCUGAUACCUGAUUAGAUUUCAGUCUCAGGCAGCAGAAAUUUAGCAACCCUUUUUGCUAUGUACAUACUGGACUGGUUACUUUUUGUGCUAACCUAGCUAGAAAAGCCGAGUGCACGCAAAAAAAGUCGGUUUUUCUUGUGUCUUGCAUUUACCAUUUGAUAAUGAGUACAAGAAGAAGAGAGAGCGGAAGUGGUGUGGUCUUUUCCCACUACAUCAGCAGCAGAUGAGAUACGUAUGAUGAUCACUAUUUGUUCGAGAAAGGGUCGUCCCACCAGACCAGACAAGCUCCAGUAAAGUUCCGGUUUCAUUCAACAAUUUUUAAACCCAACCAAAAUAGCAGGAAGCAGGAAGUUGGUUGGUUGUGCAAGUAAGUAAGGGACACACUCACUCACUGACUAAUAACACAAAUAAACUAACUAAACCCUGACGUAUCUAGUAGGAAUUUUCUACUGCUCCUGGUGAUUUUGGAAUUUCCCUUUAAAAAAGUCUAUGAAUCUUUACGGAAUAAUAACUCGAGAGAUACAUACGUAGAUUUUACUAUUCCAUUAUUAAAGCAAAGAAGGAAAAGUAUAAUGGAUGGAUUGGAUGGACGUAGAAACGUACGAACUGCACACACAGCGUGAUCUUUAAGUGGUUUUAGCUGGGCUUAAUUGCUUCUCUUCCCCUCUUCUCCAACGCCACGAUGCUUACACGUACAUCUACACGAUACGAUACCAUCUGCUGAGGAGUUUGUAUGAGUGCAUGAAAAAAAGACGAGGAUAAAUGCAUCCUUUAAAGGAAGGGUUUAAGCGAAAGGGUUGAACUCUUACUGCGUUACAUUACACCACGUUUUGUGCCGUGAUGCUUAAUAUAUAUAAAGUGAAGUAAGUACUUACUUACUUACUAUGAGGUGUAGUAAAUAAUGUAGUGUUGUGUAGCUCGUGGGAGAAAGAAUUCAUGGACGAGGAAUAGAAUAAUAGGAUGCAUAGAUAGAUACAAGAAUAAGAAAAUGUACUUGGUUACUACCGGAAUGGAAUAUCCAUCCAGGUCCUCAUCCUGCUGCCACAAAUAUCUUUAUAUGAAUGUACAUAGUUUAGUUGAAGAUGCUCUGCUUUCUCAUGAAAAAGUUGAGAAUGAUUCGUAUCAUUUAUUCAUAUAAAUUGCCUUCCUAUGUGAAUGUGUCGCUUUUAUGACAUGAAACUUUUAGCAUGCCUUUAUGACAUUUGUAAGAAGAAUUGCCAACCUGGAAAUCUGACACGAUCCGUAAAAAGAUAUAUGACUUUCAAAUAAUCGUGGAAACCAAAAACUGGUAAUCUAACCGUUGAUUCGUACAUUUUACGAUGUGUGUGAGAAUGAGUUGAUCGGUGGGAAGCAACGACUAAUUAAUUAAAUCCCGUCCCGUCCCAACUAACAAUUAGAACUUACAUUUUUCCAAGUUCGAGAUAAAACUUUAUUAUUUUUAUGCAACAUGUUUGAAUUACAAUAAAAUAACUAGAAUUUCAAUGUUUCUUUUAAAUAUUAUGACAGAAAUUCGUUUCUUGCUUAAAACUACCGGAUAUCAAGUUUAACCAGCAUUCAUUAAAUGUAUUGUUUGAGUAGGAGAAUAAAUUCAUUCCGCAUUGUGUAUUAGCGGCCGAAAUAUCUACUGAUCUGUAUAAAAAUGUUAUAUCAUAAUAAUAUG